rnacentral:rRNA from 1 species
AUUGAACGCUGGCGGCAGGCCUAUCACAUGCAAGUCGAGCGAGCGGCGGACGGGUGAGUAAUGUAUGGGGACUGCCCGAUAGAGGGGGAUAACUACUGGAAACGGUAGCUAAUACCGCAUACUAUCGGAUAACCCAGAUGGGAUUAGCUAGUAGGUGAGGGAAUGGCUCACCUAGGCGACGAGCCCUAGCUGGUCUGAGAGGAGGAUCAGCCACACUGGGACUGAGACACGGCCCAGACUCCUACGGAGGCAGCAGUGGGGAAUAUUGCACAAUGGGCGCAAGCCUGAUGCAGCCAUGCCGCGUGUAUGAAGAAGGCCCUAGGGUUGUAAAGUACUUUCAGUCGGGAGGCGUUACCUACAGAAGAAGCACCGGCUAACUCCGUGCCAGCAGCCGCGGUAAUUC